rnacentral:rRNA from 1 species
UACGUAGGGUGCGAGCGUUGUCCGGAAUUAUUGGGCGUAAAGAGCUCGUAGGCGGCUUGUCGCGUCGGAUGUGAAAGCCCGGGGCUUAACUCCGGGUCUGCAUUCGAUACGGGCAGACUAGAGUUCGGUAGGGGAGACUGGAAUUCCUGGUGUAGCGGUGAAAUGCGCAGAUAUCAGGAGGAACACCGGUGGCGAAGGCGGGUCUCUGGGCCGAUACUGACGCUGAGGAGCGAAAGCGUGGGGAGCGAACAGG